rnacentral:misc_RNA from 1 species
UACGGAGGAUCCAAGCGUUAUCCGGAAUCAUUGGGUUUAAAGGGUCCGUAGGCGGUUUGAUAAGUCAGUGGUGAAAUCCCUACGCCUAACGUAGGAACUGCCAUUGAUACUGUUAGACUUGAAUUAAUAGGAAGUAACUAGAAUAUGUAGUGUAGCGGUGAAAUGCUUAGAUAUUACAUGGAAUACCAAUUGCGAAGGCAGGUUACUAUCACUAUAUUGACGCUGAUGGACGAAAGCGUGGGGAGCGAACAGG